UGACACACACAUGUAUCUCAAUAAGAUCUACAAAAAAGUCAGUGCGGGCGUAUCUGUCAAAUGUACGGUUAAUGGGUUAUUUUGCAUUUUUUGCAGAUCUGCACACAUUGGAAUUUCGCUAACUCCUCCGAAGGCUUUCGUUCGACCAGCACCACAUUUGCGCAGGCCAAUCUACCCCCCAUGGCCAUUAAAAGUUGUACAAAUCAUGACGCUGCACCCCACGGUUUACGUUCUAGGGGGCGCCAAAGAUAACCCAAAAUCCACAUUCUUAAAAGUCUUAUAACUUUUUAUUUUUGUCCUCACUGCCCUCCAAGUUUUCUAGGAUGAUGCAAUGUCCAGCCAUCAACACAUUUGUGAAGGAAUUUUUACUCGCCAAAAGAGCGCCCCCCCAUGGCAGGAGAAAAA